GGCCUGGUGGUCUAGCGGUAUGAUUGUCGCUUCGUUUGUGACAGGUCCCGGGUUCAAUCCCCGGCCAGGCCC